UACGUAGGGGGCAAGCGUUGUCCGGAAUCAUUGGGCGUAAAGCGCGCGUAGGCGGCCCUGUAAGUCCGUUGUGAAAGUCAAAGGCUCAACCUUUGAAAGCCGAUGGAUACUGCAGGGCUAGAGUCCGGAAGAGGCGAGUGGAAUUCCUGGUGUAGCGGUGAAAUGCGCAGAUAUCAGGAGGAACACCAAUGGCGAAGGCAGCUCGCUGGGACGGUACUGACGCUGAGACGCGAAAGCGUGGGGAGCAAACAGG
rnacentral:rRNA from 1 species